AUGCACAUCUGCUGCUAUGGUUUCCACUACAGAUGCAAGGAAAAAGUGUCCUCGUCCUUUUGUCUGUCUGAUUGUGGCAGUUGAGAUUGAAUAGAGGUAGACAGAG
ensembl:snoRNA